UACGGAGGGUGCAAGCGUUAUCCGGAUUUACUGGGUUUAAAGGGUGCGUAGGUGGGUGAGUAAGUCAGUGGUGAAAUCUCCGGGCUUAACCCGGAAAAUGCAUUGAAUACUAUCCGGCUGGAGGGUUGGAGGGGGGACUGGAAUUCUCGGUGUAGCAGUGAAAUGCGUAGAUAUCGAGAGGAACACCAGUGGCGAAGGCGGCGUCCUGGACCAACACUGACACUGAUGAGCGAAAGCCAGGGGAGCAAACGGG
rnacentral:rRNA from 1 species